rnacentral:rRNA from 1 species
UACGUAGGGGGCAAGCGUUGUCCGGAAUCAUUGGGCGUAAAGAGCGCGUAGGCGGCCCAGUAAGUCCGCUCUGAAAGUCAGGGGCUCAACCCCUGGAUGCGGGUGGAUACUGCUGGGCUAGAGUCCGGAAGAGGUGAGUGGAAUUCCUGGUGUAGCGGUGAAAUGCGCAGAUAUCAGGAGGAACACCAAUAGCGAAGGCAGCUCGCUGGGACGGUACUGACGCUAAGGCGCGAAAGCGUGGGGAGCGAACAGG